rnacentral:rRNA from 1 species
ACAAUGGUGAAAGCCUGAUCCAGCAAUGCGCGUGUGUGAAGAAGGCCUUCGGGUUGUAAAGCACUUUUGUCCGGAAAGAAAUCCUUGGCUCUAAUACAGUCGGGGGAUGACGGUACCGGAAGAAUAAGCACCGGCUAACUACGUGCCAGCAGCCGCGGUAAUACGUAGGGUGCGAGCGUUAAUCGGAAUUACUGGGCGUAAAGCGUGCGCAGGCGGUUUGCUAAGACCGAUGUGAAAUCCCCGGGCUCAACCUGGGAACUGCAUUGGUGACUGGCAGGCUAGAGUAUGGCAGAGGGGGGUAGAAUUCCACGUGUAGCAGUGAAAUGCGUAGAGAUGUGGAGGAAUACCGAUGGCGAAGGCAGCCCCCUGGGCCAAUACUGACGCUCAUGCACGAAAGCGUGGGGAGCAAACAGGAUUAGAUACCCUGGUAGUCCACGCCCUAAACGAUGUCAACUAGUUGUUGGGGAUUCAUUUCCUUAGUAACGUAGCUAACGCGUGAAGUUGACCGCCUGGGGAGUACGGUCGCAAGAUUAAAACUCAAAGGAAUUGACGGGGACCCGCACAAGCGGUGGAUGAUGUGGAUUAAUUCGAUGCAACGCGAAAAACCUUACCUACCCUUGACAUGGUCGGAAUCCCGCUGAGAGGUGGGAGUGCUCUGAAAGAGAACCGGCGCACAGGUGC